rnacentral:rRNA from 1 species
GACGAACGCUGGCGGCGUGCCUAAUACAUGCAAGUAGAACGCUGAAGAGAGGAGCUUGCUCUUCUUGGAUGAGUUGCGAACGGGUGAGUAACGCGUAGGUAACCUGCCUUGUAGCGGGGGAUAACUAUUGGAAACGAUAGCUAAUACCGCAUAACAAUGGAUGACACAUGUCAUUUAUUUGAAAGGGGCAAUUGCUCCACUACAAGAUGGACCUGCGUUGUAUUAGCUAGUAGGUGAGGUAAUGGCUCACCUAGGCGACGAUACAUAGCCGACCUGAGAGGGUGACCGCCCACCCUGGGAUUGGACCCCGGCCCAGCCUCCUCCGGGGGGCAGCAGUAGGGAACCUUCGGCAAUGGGGGCAACCCUGACCGAGCAACCCCGCGUGAGUGAAGAAGGUUUUCGGAUCUUAAAGCUCUUUUGUAAGCCAAGACCGGGUGGGAGAGGGGAAAGUUCCCCCUGUGCCGGUAGCUAACCAGAAAGGGCCGCCUACCUCCGU